rnacentral:rRNA from 1 species
GAUUAACGCUAGCGGCAGGCAUAAUACAUGCAAGUUGAACGGCAGCACAGGUAGCAAUACUGGGUGGCGAGUGGCGCGCGGGUGCGUAACACGUAUGCAACCUACCCUAUACAGGCGAAUAACCUUUAGAAAUGAGGGCUAAUACGCCGUAGUAUUACAGAUGGGCAUCUAUUUGUAAUUAAAGAUUUAUCGGUAUAGGAUGGGCAUGCGUCCCAUUAGUUAGUUGGUAAGGUAACGGCUUACCAAGACGAUGAUGGGUAGGGGAUCUGAGAGGACUUACCCCCACACUGGUACUGAGACACGGACCAGACUCCUACGGGAGGCAGCAGUAAGGAAUAUUGGGCAAUGGCCGCGAGGCUGACCCAGCCAUGCCGCGUGCAGGAAGACGGCCUUAUGGGUUGUAAACUGCUUUUAUACGGGAAUAAUAGAGUGUACGCGUACAUUUAUGCAAGUAUCGUAUGAAUAAGCAUCGGCUAACUCCGUG